rnacentral:rRNA from 1 species
UACGGAGGGUGCAAGCGUUAUCCGGAUUCACUGGGUUUAAAGGGUGCGUAGGUGGGUUGGUAAGUCAGUGGUGAAAUCUCCAGGCUUAACUUGGAAACUGCCAUUGAUACUAUCAGUCUUGAAUACCGUGGAGAAUGAGCGGAAUAUGUCAUGUAGCGGUGAAAAUGCUUAGAUAUGACAUAGAACACCAAUUGCGAAGCAGCUGGCUACACAUAUAUUGACA